rnacentral:rRNA from 1 species
UACGUAGGGUGCAAGCGUUGUCCGGAAUUAUUGGGCGUAAAGAGCUCGUAGGCGGUUUGUCGCGUCUGCUGUGAAAACUCGGGGCCUAACCCCGGGCCUGCAGUGGGUACGGGCAGACUAGAGUGCGGUAGGGGAGACUGGAAUUCCUGGUGUAGCGGUGAAAUGCGCAGAUAUCAGGAGGAACACCGGUGGCGAAGGCGGGUCUCUGGGCCGUAACUGACGCUGAGGAGCGAAAGCAUGGGGAGCGAACAGG